GACGAACGCUGGCGGCGUGCUUAACACAUGCCAGUCGAGCGGUAAGGCUCCUUCGGGCGUACACGAGCGGCGCACGGGUGAGUAACACGUGAGUAAUCUGCCCUUCACUUCGGGAUAACCACCGGAAACGGUGGCUAAUACCGAAUACGACCAGUCUUCGCAUGAGGUGCUGGUGGAAAGUCUUUUCGGUGAAGGAUGUGCUCGCGGCCUAUCAGCUUGUUGGUGGGGUAAUGGCCUACCAAGGCUUCGACGGGUAGCCGGCCUGAGAGGGUGACCGGCCACACUGGGACUGAGACACGGCCCAGACUCCUACGGGAGGCAGCAGUGGGGAAUAUUGGACAAUGGGCGAAAGCCUGAUCCAGCAACGCCGCGUGAGGGAUGACGGCCUUCGGGUUGUAAACCUCUUUCAGUACCGACGAAGCGCCCUGUCGGGUGGUGACGGUAGGUACAGAAGAAGGACCGGCCAACUACGUG
rnacentral:rRNA from 1 species